GAUGAACGCUAGCGGCAGGCCUAACACAUGCAAGUCGAGGGGUAGCAGGAUUAAGCUUGCUUAAUUGCUGACGACCGGCGCACGGGUGCGUAACGCGUAUGCAACCUACCUUAUACUGGGGUAUAGCCCGGAGAAAUUCGGAUUAAUCCCCCAUAGUACUAAUGAAUCGCAUGGUUUGUUAGUUAAAGCAUUGCGGUAUAAGAUGGGCAUGCGUCCUAUUAGCUAGAUGGUGAGGUAACGGCUCACCAGGGCUACGAUAGGUAGGGGGCCUGAGAGGGUGGUCCCCCACACUGGUACUGAGACACGGACCAGACUCCUACGGGAGGCAGCAGUGAGGAAUAUUGGUCAAUGGGCGCAAGCCUGAACCAGCCAUGCCGCGAGCAGGAAGAAUGCCCUAUGGGUUGUAAACUGCUUUUAUUUGGGAAUAAACCUCUUUACGUGUAGAGAGCUGAAGGUACCAAAUGAAUAAGCACCGGCUAACUCCGUGCCAGCCGCCGCAGUAA
rnacentral:rRNA from 1 species